rnacentral:rRNA from 1 species
UUAGACAGCUAGGAGGUUGGCUUAGAAGCAGCCACCCUUUAAAGAAAGCGUAAUAGCUCACUAGUCGAGUCGGCCUGCGCGGAAGAUGUAACGGGGCUCAAACCAUGCACCGAAGCUACGGGUAUCAUCUUAUGAUGAUGCGGUAGAGGAGCGUUCUGUAAGCCUGUGAAGGUGAGUUGAGAAGCUUGCUGGAGGUAUCAGAAGUGCGAAUGCUGACAUGAGUAACGACAAUGCGAGUGAAAAACUCGCACGCCGAAAGACC